rnacentral:rRNA from 1 species
UGCCAGCCGCCGCGGUAAUACGGAGGGUCCAAGCGUUAUCCGGAUUCAUUGGGUUUAAAGGGUGCGUAGGCGGCUUAAUAAGUCAGUGGUGAAAGACUGUGGCUCAACCAUAGAAUUGCCAUUGAAACUGUUAGGCUUGAAUCUAGUUGAAGUGGGCGGAACACAUCAUGUAGCGGUGAAAUGCAUAGAUAUGAUGUAGAACGCCGAUUGCGAAGGCAGCUCACUAAGUUAGUAUUGACGCUGAGGCACGAAAGCGUGGGUAGCGAACAGGAUUAGAUA